UUCAUUUUCUAGCGAUCACUUUCCUUCUGCUGGUGACACACUGUUACUUCAAAGGCCUGGACCGGGGCGUGUUUCCUGUAAGGGUGAGCAGAUUUGAAUGACCGCUCAGGAUGGACCUGCUCUAAGCCUGACCAGACUUGGAACUGAAGCACCUUAAGGACAAAAGAAAGACUUGCUGAGCUCGCUCACAGACCUUCUAGAGCAGCGCUGGGCUCAUGGAUCUGGAGAUUAUGGACAGAAGAUAAUGUAGAUGUUAUAACCAGGCCAGCGUCCUGUGGUAAAGGGUGUCUUUAGAUCACUGUUUCGUCGGUAUAGGUAAAUGACAUGAAGAACAUCUUUAUAGGCAGGGGAUGAGAAUCUGAGAUGAAGAAAAGAGGCUCCCCUGAUGGACCAUUCUAAGCUACUGUCAGAAGCAGGAUCCAUAGAACUUAAGGACAUGAUUGCAACAAUUAUCAGACAUUGGCCUCUUAGGUCAUGGUGAUCUUUUAGUAUUUUGGCUUUCUGCUGUCCUUUCAUAAAGGAACCUCAUUUUUAGCUUCUAUUGAAGAUAUAAAAUCAUCUCAUAGUAUUUUCUCAUUACUAGGAGCUGUAAAUCACUUCAAAGCUGUCUUUCUCCUUGAUCAUUUGCAUAUCAAAGUAUUUCUCUUGAGUACGGUGAUCUCUCCCCCUGUGGUUUGCUGUGUACCAGUUCUCUCUGGAUCCUAGGGCCUAGGGAAGUGUGGAUUCCAAGUGACUGGUGUUUUUCUACAGUAGAGCUUUUUUGUUGGCUCUUACCUGGGAGGACAAUGGGGAAGGGCCAGGGCCAUCCUGUUCUUUGCUGGGUGUGACCUUUCCUGCUCUGCUUCAGGGUUCCAUGCUGAAACCACCUUUAGCCAUCAUCGAGUGGGACUCCUUUUUACAUUUUGGUGAUUUCAAUAUUGUUUUUGUAUGGGUUUUGAGUUUCAGUCCUAAAUCUGUGUGGUGUGACAGAGGGAACCUCUACACAAAGGCCUGCCAAUCUGCAACCUCUUCAUGCUGCCACUGGUUAGAUCAACAGUUCACUCUAGACACUGAACCUUGCCUGCAUGCGUGCUAGUGUCACCACCAACAUCAGUAUCACUGUGCACCAGCAUCAGCAUCACUGUGCACCAGCAUCAGCAUCACUGUGUAUCAGCAUCAGCAUCACUGUGCACCAGCAUCAGCAUCACUGUGCACCAGCAUCAGCAUCACUGUGUAUCAGCAUCAGCAUCACUGUGCACCAGCAUCAGCAUCACUGUGCACCAGCAUCAGCAUGACUGUGUACCAGCAUCAGCAUCACUGUGCACCAGCAUCAGUAUCACUGUGUACCAGCAUCAGCAUCACUGUGCACCAGCAUCAGUAUCACUGUGCACAGCUCAAUCUCCAUACGUCAAUCGCCAGAUCGGUCCAAAAGUGUCUUGUCUGUGUGUAUUUUCUCCCACUUUACCACUCCACUCUGGCUUAAGCCUUCCCACCUGCUACUGUGUACUGUGUGGUUGCUGGCUUUGGGAACUCCCAAACUUUCCCUCUGUAUUUCAUGUUUCUGUUGGCCUGACAAGUAUCUCUUUCUAAAAAAGUACUAGUUUAUUUUAUGUGAAUGAAUGUUUUGUCUGUGUAGCUGGUAUGUGCUUGGUGCCCAUGAAUCCCAGAAGAGGGUAUUGGAUCCUCUGGAAGUGGAGUUAGUUACAGAUGCUUGUGAGCCUUCAUGUGGGUUCUGGGAAUUGAACCCAGGUCUUUUGGAUCCCAGUGAUUUUAAUGGUCGAGCUAUCUUUCCAGCUCCUUCAGGGCCUGAGAGAGGUCCUAGAACCCCUAAAUUCCCCAGUGACUCCCCUUUGUUAUUCUGAGAAGUUUCAGCUUCAACUUGCCAUUCUGGGAAACACAGGACCCUAUAAUCCACCUGCCUUCCGGGAUGAACACAUGGCUUCACCCCUGAAGGCAGUGCUUAAGGCACUGCAUGAUUCUCCACUUCCAAACGUGAUCUGUAUUUUCUGCCCACCUACCUCUUUGCUUAGUCAUUCACUGUAUUAUUCCCUAUUCUGUGCUGAGCACGAGUGUGCUCUCUCUCUCUGUCUCCUUUCUUUUUGCUUUUUUUUUCUCAUCUUUCUUUUUUUUUUGUCAGUUUUAUGUAUCUUUGAAAAUUUUAUUGAAUGUAACCUUUUUAAGAGUCUUGGAUGCAAUGUCCUUUCUUUGAGCCUUGAAAUCUGAAUCAUCUCUUUAGUGUAUUGUGGCAAAUGACGGUGUUUCUCUGUGUAUUCCUAGCUGUCCUGGAACUCUUUUUGUAGAUCAGGCUGGCCUCGAACUCACAGAGAUUUGCCUGCCUCUGCCUCUCAAGUGCUGGGAUCAACAGCAUGUGCUACCACUGUCCAGGUCUUGAUUUCUUGAUUUCUUGAUUUAAAAGAAUGAGUCUCUGCAUAAGGCUUGCCUAGGCCAUCAGCUACAAGCUUCACUGGACAGUGUACAGACAGCAUAGAGUUGGCUUCAUACUAGGGAUUGAGCAUCUAUUGGUGGAAUAAAUACAUCAAUAUGUGGAA
ensembl:lincRNA Lncenc1 long non-coding RNA, embryonic stem cells expressed 1